UAGUCCACGCCGUAAACGAUGAUAACUAGCUGUCCGAACCCACAGGGUUUGGGUGGCGCAGCUAACGCAUUAAGUUAUCCGCCUGGGGAGUACGGUCGCAAGAUUAAAACUCAAAGGAAUUGACGGGGGCCUGCACAAGCGGUGGAGCAUGUGGUUUAAUUCGACGCAACGCGCAGAACCUUACCAGCUUUUGUCAUCCCGAUCGCGGUUUUCAGAGAUGAAAACCUUCAGCUAGGCUGGAUCGGUGACAGGUGUUGCAUGGCUGUCGUCAGCUCGUGUCGUGAGAUGUUGGGUUAAGUCCCGCAACGAGCGCAACCCUCGCCCUUAGUUACCAGCGGUUCGGCCGGGGACUCUAGGGGAACUGCCGGUGUUAAACCGGAGGAAGGUGAGGAUGACGUCAAGUCAUCAUGGCCCUUACAAGGUGGGCUACACACGUGCUACAAUGGCGGUGACAAUGGGAUGCUAUAGGGCGACCUAAUGCUAAUCUCUAAAAACCGCCUCAGUUCGGA
rnacentral:rRNA from 1 species